rnacentral:rRNA from 1 species
UGCGUAGGUGGUUAGGUAAGUUUGGUGUGAAAUCUCCGAGCUCAACUCGGAAACUGCACUGAAAACUGCCAGACUAGAGGAUUGGAGGGGGGACUGGAAUUCUCGGCGUAGCGGUGAAAUGCGUAGAUAUCGAGAGGAACACCAGUGGCGUAGGCGAGUCCCUGGACAACUCCUGACACUGAGGCACGAAAGCUAGGGUAGCAAACAGGAUUAGAUACCCUGGUAGUCC